rnacentral:rRNA from 1 species
AUUGAACGCUGGCGGCAUGCUUUACACAUGCCAGUCGAACGGCAGCACAGGGAGCUUGCUCCUGGGUGGCGAGUGGCGAACGGGUGAGUAAUGUAUCGGAACGUGCCUGGUAGUGGGGGAUAACUACUCGAAAGAGUGGCUAAUACCGCAUGAGAUCUUUGGAUGAAAGCGGGGGACCUUCGGGCCUCGUGCUACUGGAGCGGCCGAUAUCAGAUUAGGUUGUUGGUGGGGUAAAGGCCUACCAAGCCUGCGAUCUGUAGCUGGUCUGAGAGGACGACCAGCCACACUGGGACUGAGACACGGCCCAGACUCCUACGGGAGGCAGCAGUGGGGAAUUUUGGACAAUGGGCGCAAGCCUGAUCCAGCAAUGCCGCGUGCAGGACGAAGGCCUUCGGGUUGUAAACUGCUUUUGUACAGAACGAAAAGUCUCUGGCUAAUAUCUAGAGAUCAUGACGGUACUGUAAGAAUAAGCACCGGCUAACUACGUG